GUCUUUUAGAAUUAAUAAUUUAAAGUUUAACCUGCCCCCUGAUAAAAUUAAAGGGCCGCAGUAUUAAUUGUGCAAAGGUAGCAUAAUAAUUAGUUUUUUAAUUGAAGACUAGAAUGAAUGGUUGGACGAAAUAUAUAUUGUUUCAAAUUUAUAUAAAUAAAAUUUAUUAUUUUAAUAAAAAAAUUAAAAUAUAAUAAAAAGACGAGAAGACCCUAUAGAUUUUUAUAUAAUUAUAUUUAAAGUAUAAUUUUAUUAAAUUGGGGUGAUUAAAAAAUUUAUUAAACUUUUUUAAAAUUAAACAUAAAUUUAUGGGUAAUUUAUUAUAAUAUAAUGAUCUAAUAAUAUAUAAUAUUAAAUAAAGAAUAAAAUACCUUAGGGAUAACAGCGUAAUUUUAAUUUUAAGUUCUUAUUAAAAUUAAAGAUUGCGACCUCGAUGUUGAAUUAAAAUUAAUUUUAAAUGCAGAAGUUUAAUAAUUAAGUCUGUUCGACUUUUAAAAUUUU
rnacentral:rRNA from 1 species